GGUUAAGCGACUAAGCGUACACGGUGGAUGCCCUGGCAGUCAGAGGCGAUGAAGGGCGUGCUAAUCUGCGAUAAGCGCCGGUAAGGUGAUAUGAACCGUUAUAACCGGCGAUACCCGAAUGGGGAAACCCAGUGUGAUUCGUCACACUAUCAUUAACUGAAUCCAUAGGUUAAUGAGGCGAACCGGGGGAACUGAAACAUCUAAGUACCCCGAGGAAAAGAAAUCAACCGAGAUUCCCCCAGUAGCGGCGAGCGAACGGGGAGGAGCCCAGAGCCUGAAUCAGCAUGUGUGUUAGUGGAAGCGUCUGGAAAGGCGCGCGAUACAGGGUGACAGCCCCGUACACAAAAGCGCAUGUGCUGUGAGCUCGAUGAGUAGGGCGGGACACGUGGUAUCCUGUCUGAAUAUGGGGGGACCAUCCUCCAAGGCUAAAUACUCCUGACUGACCGAUAGUGAACCAGUACCGUGAGGGAAAGGCGAAAAGAACCCCGGCGAGGGGAGUGAAAAAGAACCUGAAACCGUGUACGUACAAGCAGUGGGAGCCCCACCACUAAGCCAGUGGUGAACUCCACAUCCGCAUCCUUUGCUGAGGAUACGGUUAACGGAGCGAAAGCGACGUUCAACCGCAAAACAAGCAGAGGGGGCUUAGUGGUGGGGUGACUGCGUACCUUUUGUAUAAUGGGUCAGCGACUUAUAUUCUGUAGCAAGGUUAACCGAAUAGGGGAGCCGGAGGGAAACCGAGUCUUAAUUGGGCGUUAAGUUGCAGGGUAUAGACCCGAAACCCGGUGAUCUAGCCAUGGGCAGGUUGAAGGUUGGGUAACACUAACUGGAGGACCGAACCGACUAAUGUUGAAAAAUUAGCGGAUGACCUGUGGCUGGGGGUGAAAGGCCAAUCAAACCGGGAGAUAGCUGGUUCUCCCCGAAAGCUAUUUAGGUAGCGCCUCGUGAAUUCAUCUCCGGGGGUAGAGCACUGUUUCGGCUAGGGGGCCAUCCCGGCUUACCAACCCGAUGCAAACUGCGAAUACCGGAGAAUGUUAUCACGGGAGACACACGGCGGGUGCUAACGUCCGUCGUGAAGAGGGAAACAACCCAGACCGCCAGCUAAGGUCCCAAAGUCAUGGUUAAGUGGGAAACGAUGUGGGAAGGCCCAGACAGCCAGGAUGUUGGCUUAGAAGCAGCCAUCAUUUAAAGAAAGCGUAAUAGCUCACUGGUCGAGUCGGCCUGCGCGGAAGAUGUAACGGGGCUAAACCAUGCACCGAAGCUGCGGCAGCGAACGUAUCACCCAAGACAACUUUACGGAGUUGACGAUUGACGGAGCGAAGCGACGUCAAAGCGUUCAUUAAAGUCGAGUUGGCUUAGGGAUACGUUCGUUGGGUAGGGGAGCGUUCUGUAAGCCUGUGAAGGUGUGUCGUGAGGCAUGCUGGAGGUAUCAGAAGUGCGAAUGCUGACAUAAGUAACGAUAAAGCGGGUGAAAAGCCCGCUCGCCGGAAGACCAAGGGUUCCUGUCCAACGUUAAUCGGGGCAGGGUGAGUCGACCCCUAAGGCGAGGCCGAAAGGCGUAGUCGAUGGGAAACGGGUUAAUAUUCCUGUACUUGGUGUUACUGCGAAGGGGGGACGGAGAAGGCUAUGUUGGCCGGGCGACGGUUGUCCCGGUUUAAGCGUGUAGGUGUGUGUUCCAGGUAAAUCCGGUUCACUUUAACACUGAGGCGUGACGACGAGGCACUACGGUGCUGAAGCAACAAAUGCCCUGCUUCCAGGAAAAGCCUCUAAGCAUCAGGUAACAUCAAAUCGUACCCCAAACCGACACAGGUGGUCAGGUAGAGAAUACCAAGGCGCUUGAGAGAACUCGGGUGAAGGAACUAGGCAAAAUGGUGCCGUAACUUCGGGAGAAGGCACGCUGACACGUAGGUGAAGUGAUUUACUCAUGGAGCUGAAGUCAGUCGAAGAUACCAGCUGGCUGCAACUGUUUAUUAAAAACACAGCACUGUGCAAACACGAAAGUGGACGUAUACGGUGUGACGCCUGCCCGGUGCCGGAAGGUUAAUUGAUGGGGUCAGCGCAAGCGAAGCUCCUGAUCGAAGCCCCGGUAAACGGCGGCCGUAACUAUAACGGUCCUAAGGUAGCGAAAUUCCUUGUCGGGUAAGUUCCGACCUGCACGAAUGGCGUAAUGAUGGCCAGGCUGUCUCCACCCGAGACUCAGUGAAAUUGAACUCGCUGUGAAGAUGCAGUGUACCCGCGGCAAGACGGAAAGACCCCGUGAACCUUUACUAUAGCUUGACACUGAACAUUGAGCCUUGAUGUGUAGGAUAGGUGGGAGGCUUUGAAGUGUGGACGCCAGUCUGCAUGGAGCCGACCUUGAAAUACCACCCUUUAAUGUUUGAUGUUCUAACGUGGACCCGUUACCCGGGUUGCGGACAGUGUCUGGUGGGUAGUUUGACUGGGGCGGUCUCCUCCUAAAGAGUAACGGAGGAGCACGAAGGUUGGCUAAUCCUGGUCGGACAUCAGGAGGUUAGUGCAAUGGCAUAAGCCAGCUUGACUGCGAGCGUGACGGCGCGAGCAGGUGCGAAAGCAGGUCAUAGUGAUCCGGUGGUUCUGAAUGGAAGGGCCAUCGCUCAACGGAUAAAAGGUACUCCGGGGAUAACAGGCUGAUACCGCCCAAGAGUUCAUAUCGACGGCGGUGUUUGGCACCUCGAUGUCGGCUCAUCACAUCCUGGGGCUGAAGUAGGUCCCAAGGGUAUGGCUGUUCGCCAUUUAAAGUGGUACGCGAGCUGGGUUUAGAACGUCGUGAGACAGUUCGGUCCCUAUCUGCCGUGGGCGCUGGAGAACUGAGGGGGGCUGCUCCUAGUACGAGAGGACCGGAGUGGACGCAUCACUGGUGUUCGGGUUGUCAUGCCAAUGGCACUGCCCGGUAGCUAAAUGCGGAAGAGAUAAGUGCUGAAAGCAUCUAAGCACGAAACUUGCCCCGAGAUAAGUUCUCCCUGAGACUUAGAGUCUCCUGAAGGAACGUUGAAGACGACGACGUUGAUAGGCCGGGUGUGUAAGCGCAGCGAUGCGUUGAGCUAACCGGUACUAAUGAACCGUGAGGCUUAACCUU
rnacentral:rRNA from 1 species